rnacentral:rRNA from 1 species
CCCUUAGAUGUUCUGGGCCGCACGCGCGCUACACUGAACAGUUCAACAAGUCUUAACCUUGGCCGAUAGGUCUGGGUAAUCUUUGAACGCUGUUCGUGAUUGGGAUAGACCUUUGCAAUUAUGGGUCUUCAACGAGGAAUUCCUAGUAAACGCAAGUCAUCAGCUCGCAUUGAUUACGUCCCUGCCCUUUGUACACACCGCCCGUCGCACCUACCGAUUGAACGAUUCGGUGAAAACUCGGGACCGUGGCUGCGCGUCCUUUAUUGGAUGCGCUUCCGUGGGAACUUGUGUAAACCUCAUCGUUUAGAGGAAGGUGAANUCGUANCA